CCUACGGGAGGCAGCAGUGAGGAAUAUUGGUCAAUGGCCGGAAGGCUGAACCAGCCAAGCCGCGUGAGGGAGUAAGGCGCAGAGCGUCGUAGACCUCUUUUGCCGGGGGACAAGAGCCGGGACGGGUCCCGUCCUGAGGGUACCCGGAGAAAAAGCAUCGGCUAACUCCGUGCCAGCCGCCGCGGUUAUACGGAGGAUGCGAGAGGUUUCCGGAUUUAUUGGGUUUAAAGGGUGCGGAGGCGGGCCUUUAAGGCGGCGGUAAAAUCGCGGGGCUCAACCCCGGCGGGCCGUUGGCACUGGGGGCCUUGAGUGGGGGAGAAGCAUGCGGAAUGCGCGGUGUAGCGGUGAAAUGCAUAGAUAUCGCGCAGAACCCCGAUUGCGAAGGCAGCCUGCCGGCGCGCCACUGACGCUGAGGCACGAAAGUGCGGGGAUCGAACAGGAUUAGAUACCCCUGUAGUC
rnacentral:rRNA from 1 species